UAGACGUAGGACGCGAGCGUUAUCCGGAUUUACUGGGCGUAAAGCGCCUGCAGGCGGUCAGGUAAGUCGGUUGUGAAAGCCCCGUGCUCAACGCGGGGAGGCCAAGCGAUACUGCGUGACUUGAGGGCGGAAGAGGGGAGUGGAAUUCCCGGUGUAGCGGUAAAAUGCGCAGAUAUCGGGAGGAACACCAGUGGCGAAGGCGGCUCCCUGGACCGCACCUGACGCUCAGAGGCGAAAGCUAGGGGAGCGAACAGGAUUAGAGACCCUGGUAGUCCUAGCCCUAAACGCUGGAUGCUAGGUGUAGGGCUGAUGAGGCUCUGUGCCGGAGCGAACGCGAUAAGCAUCCCGCCUGGGAACUACGGCCGCAAGGCUAAAACUCAAACGAAUUGACGGGGACCCGCACAAGCAGCGGAGCGUGUGGUUUAAUUCGAUGCUACACGAAGAACCUUACCUGGGUUUGACAUGCUGGUGGUACCGAACCGAAAGGGGAGGGACCCUUCGGGGAGCCAACACAGGUGCUGCAUGGCUGUCGUCAGCUCGUGCCGUGAGGUGUCGGGUUAAGUCCCGUAACGAGCGCAACCCUUGCUCUUAGUUAUACGUGUCUAAGGGGACUGCCGGCGACAAGCCGGAGGAAGGUGGGGAUGACGUCAAGUCAGCAUGGCCUUGAUAUCCAGGGCUACACACACGCUACAAUGGCCGGUACAAAGGGCA
rnacentral:rRNA from 1 species